rnacentral:lncRNA from 1 species
AUGCAAAGUACGAGUAAUGGAUUGCAGUGCAACAGAUCACUCAACGGUUGCUGAGCAUGAAUUAACAUUUUUAGCGCUUGGAAUAGUUUCAACAUCCUAUGUUUAAUAUGGAUUAGAAGAUUGCAGUACAGCAGAUCUUUCAAGCCAUGAUGAAACAUGAAUUACCG